rnacentral:misc_RNA from 1 species
ACGCGGGCAACCAUAUAAACACCAGCCGCCACCAUCGUCGCGGCGUGAAUGAGGGCCGACGCUGGUGUGGGGCCUUCCAUGGCAUCCGGCAACCAUACGUGCAGCGGAACUUGCGCUGAUUUACCCAUAGCGCCACAAAAGAGCAGCAGCGGAACAGCCGUUAGAACCCAGGUUGGGUACGUCAUGGAGGUCACGUUCUGAUAGAGCGAAGAAAUGUUGAAUGUGCCGAGGUAGUUGAAGAUGAUCAGCAAUCCCAAAUAGAAGCCCAGGUCGCCCACGCGUGUCGUCAAAAAUGCUUUUCGUCCGGCGUAGGCGGCGGCCUCUCGCUCAAAACCAAAUCCGAUUAAUAGAUAGGAGCAAAGCCCCACCAGCUCCCAACCGAUGAAGAACGCAGC